GACGAACGCUGGCGGCGUGCCUAAUACAUGCAAGUAGGACGCAGUUGCGAACGGGUGAGUAACGCGUAGGUAACUACCUAUUAGAGGGGGAUAACUAUUGGAAACGAUAGCUAAUACCGCAUACUAGUAGAUGGACCUGCGUUGUAUUAGCUAGUAGGUAGGGUAAUGGCCUACCUAGGCAACGAUACAUAGCCGACCUGGGAUGGUGAUGAACGCCACCGGGACUGGGACGCGGACCAGAGUCCUACGGGAGGCAGCAGUAGGGGAGCUUCGGCAAUGGGGGGAACCCUGACCGAGCAACGCCGCGUGAGUGAGGAGGGUUUUCGGAUCGUAAAGCUCUGUUGUUAAGGAAGCGGUACUUAACCAGAAAGGGACGGCUAACUACGUGCCAGCAGCCGCGGUAAUUC
rnacentral:rRNA from 1 species